GACGAACGCUGGCGGCGUGCUUAACACAUGCAAGUCGAACGGAAAGGCCCUGCUGUUGUGGGGUGCUCGAGUGGCGAACGGGUGAUUAACACGUGAGUAACCUGCCCUUGACUUUGGGAUAACUUCAGGAAACUGGGUCUAAUACCGGAUAGGAGCUCCUGCGGCAUGGUGGGGGUGGGAUAGUUUCGGCGGUUGGGGAUGGACUCGCGGCUGAUCAGCUUGUUGGUGGGGUAGUGGCUUACCAAGGCUUUGACGGGUAGCCGGCCUGAGAGGGUGACCGGCGACAUUGGGACUGAGAUACGGCCCAGACUCCUACGGGAGACAGCAGUGGGGAAUAUUGCACAAUGGGCGGAAGCGUGAUGCAGCAACGCUGCGGGCGGGAUGACGGCCUUUGGGUUGUAAACCGCUUUCGCCUGUGACGAAGCGUGAGUGACGGUAAUGGGUAAAGAAGCACCGGCUAACUACGUG
rnacentral:rRNA from 1 species